rnacentral:rRNA from 1 species
GGGUUGUGAGGUUAAGCGACUAAGCGUACACGGUGGAUGCCCUGGCAGUCAGAGGCGAUGAAGGACGUGCUAAUCUGCGAAAAGCGUCGGUAAGGUGAUAUGAACCGUUAUAACCGGCGAUGUCCGAAUGGGGAAACCCAGUGUGAUUCGUCACACUAUCGUUAACUGAAUACAUAGGUUAACGAGGCGAACCGGGGGAACUGAAACAUCUAAGUACCCCGAGGAAAAGAAAUCAACCGAGAUUCCCCCAGUAGCGGCGAGCGAACGGGGAGCAGCCCAGAGUCUGAAUCAGCUUGUGUGUUAGUGGAACGGUCUGGAAAGUCCGACGGUACAGGGUGAUAGUCCCGUACACCAAAAUGCACAGGCUGUGAACUCGAAGAGUAGGGCGGGACACGUGGUAUCCUGUCUGAAUAUGGGGGGACCAUCCUCCAAGGCUAAAUACUCCUGACUGACCGAUAGUGAACCAGUACCGUGAGGGAAAGGCGAAAAGAACCCCGGCGAGGGGAGUGAAAAAGAACCUGAAACCGUGUACGUACAAGCAGUGGGAGCACCUUCGGGUGUGACUGCGUACCUUUUGUAUAAUGGGUCAGCGACUUAUAUUCUGUAGCAAGGUUAACCGUAUAGGGGAGCCGCAGGGAAACCGAGUCUUAACUGGGCGUUAAGUUGCAGGGUAUAGACCCGAAACCCGGUGAUCUAGCCAUGGGCAGGUUGAAGGUUGGGUAACACUAACUGGAGGACCGAACCGACUAAUGUUGAAAAAUUAGCGGAUGACUUGUGGCUGGGGGUGAAAGGCCAAUCAAACCGGGAGAUAGCUGGUUCUCCCCGAAAGCUAUUUAGGUAGCGCCUCGUGAAUUCAUCUUCGGGGGUAGAGCACUGUUUCGGCUAGGGGGUCAUCCCGACUUACCAACCCGAUGCAAACUACGAAUACCGAAGAAUGUUAUCACGGGAGACACACGGCGGGUGCUAACGUCCGUCGUGAAGAGGGAAACAACCCAGACCGCCAGCUAAGGUCCCAAAGUCAUGGUUAAGUGGGAAACGAUGUGGGAAGGCACAGACAGCCAGGAUGUUGGCUUAGAAGCAGCCAUCAUUUAAAGAAAGCGUAAUAGCUCACUGGUCGAGUCGGCCUGCGCGGAAGAUGUAACGGGGCUAAACCAUGCACCGAAGCUGCGGCAGCGACACUAUGUGUUGUUGGGUAGGGGAGCGUUCUGUAAGCCUGCGAAGGUGACCUGUGAGGGUUGCUGGAGGUAUCAGAAGUGCGAAUGCUGACAUAAGUAACGAUAAAGCGGGUGAA